rnacentral:pre_miRNA from 1 species
GGGGAGGCCGGAUUCUGGGCUGUGUCCCGGCGCCCUGUGCUCCGGAGCCUGCGCUGUUGGAUUCGCGCUCCAGCCGCGCAGCCCCCU